GCGGGAACCGGCUUGGCCGCGCGCAUGCGCCGACGUGCGGCUGUGGACCCGCCGGGGGGAGCCGUCGCCCGUGGGACUCUGGCGUGGUCUCGGGAUCCCGCGUGUGGCUCUCACUUUUUAGGCUUUGGUGGCUGCCCUCCAACCAGCGUUGCCCACUCUGCCGGCAGAAAAGAUAAAAGACAAGUCUCCUAUGACUGAGCAUUGGGCUAAUAAGUGCCCACAUCCCUGCCCGCCUUCCACGCCAUGUCCAGCUUGCCAGCAGGAGAGGCAUUGGAAGUCUGAUUGCCCCGCCAUCAGGACAGGCACCGCGCCUCAACGUAGUGCCUCUCCUCAAAGGUGGGAAGGCUCCUUCCAACUCCUACACCUUGACGAGGACUGACGGUGCCCACACUCGGAGACCCCGGUCACCCUCGCCCAGCCCAGGGUAACGCUACAGGUAGCGGAUUCUCUCAACAUUACCUGGACUCAUCAAGCAACAACUAACCAGAACCUCCAUAGAGGCACAGCAAUCGUGGGUAACCCUACUACCCCUUGCCCUUACCAGACUACCAGCGGCACUUAGAAGCCCCACGGGCCGGCCAGGCGCGGUGGCUCACGCCUGUAAUCCCAGCACUUUGGGAGGCCGAGGCGGGCGGAUCACAAGGUCAGGAGAUCGAGACCACGGUGAAACCCCGUCUCUACUAAAAAUACA